rnacentral:rRNA from 1 species
UGGGGAAUAUUGGACAAUGGGCGAAAGCCUGAUCCAGCCAUGCCGCGUGUGUGAAGAAGGUCUUCGGAUUGUAAAGCACUUUAAGUUGGGAGGAAGGGCAGUAAGCGAAUACCUUGCUGUUUUGACGUUACCGACAGAAUAAGCACCGGCUAACUCUGUGCCAGCAGCCGCGGUAAUACAGAGGGUGCAAGCGUUAAUCGGAAUUACUGGGCGUAAAGCGGGCGUAGGUGGUUCGUUAAGUUGAAUGGGAAAGCCCCGGGCUCAACCUGGGAAAUGCAUCCAAAACUGGCGAGCUAGAAUAGUUCAGAGGGUGGUGGGAAUUCCUGUGUAGCGGUGGAAUGCGUAGAUAUAGGAAGGAACACCAGUGGCGAAGGCGACCACCUGGGCUAAUACUGACACUGAGGUGCGAAAGCGUGGGGAGCAAACAGG